UACCAGUGCACCUAUAUCAUGCAGGGCAGCUGCAGGGUGCGCCUUAUCAUGCAAUAAAACAAUUUCUGGCGCAUCAUCGCCUGGUUGUAGGCAUGUACUACCCUGUCUGAUGGUGGUGACUACCGAGUUGUAUUAUUGUUCCUCCCGCAGCUUUAUUCAAAAUACGUGCCACCUAACGACAUCCAGACACAAAUGAUGUUAUCAGAAAAUUUUUGAGGAGCUAAACCAGAGGCAUUGUAGCCUCUUGAGGACGUCAUUGAGAGAGACACGAGGCCUGUGUAUGAAAGCUACUCUGUAUCUGGCCCACAGCAAGUUGCAGUGCAUGUUGUAAAAAUAACGAUCAUGAACAGCUCCAGCUUCACUCUGGUGCAGAAGGAUAACCUCAGGACAUUGUUUCCUACAGCUGUGGUCUUGAUGAGCUGUACGUUACUUGACGUCUAGAUCAUCUUGUGGAUCACUGGAUAACACAUGCAUCAAGUAGAGCUGUCUACGAACUGUAAUUGUUUGUUAUUCAGGAGUGCUGUCUGUCCGCACGCUCUGAACAUUGGAGUUCUUGGAUGGAACAAUUAGUAACUAUGCACUCCGUCUUGGUAGUGUUGUACAUAAUGUCAUGCUCCCUGGCCUCGCAUCUGGAUAUCAGGUCCUGAAGCGAAUCACCGCGACGGAGCCAUGUGGACUUUGAAAUGGUCUCCAAGUUUGUUGGUGUCGGGGAGGAACAAUGAAAGAAAACAUGGAGAUGCUAUAGCUCAACAGAGAGGUCUUUCCACUACCUCACUGCAGGACCUCUCAUCUUGCCAUACAUCUCAGCAUCCUGUGGUGACAGGUACAUAGAAUAUGUCAGUCUGUUUGUCAACGCCCAUGUUUCUGCUAUGUACAGAAGAGUAGAUCUGACACAGGCUUCGUAUACCAAAAAACUGGCAAUUAUUUGCCAUGCAGCUGCUACUCUCACCUUUACUGCUCUCUCUGCACCAAAUAUAACACCACACAUCAAAAUACUUACCUCCUCAGAGGAGCUCACAACUGUUCCUCCAGUGCCAUUGUUGGAAGCCAACAACUGAACCUGCAGCUGCAUCACCUGCAAGAUACAUUUCUUUAAUUGCCUGCAUAUAAUGUGCAUAUAAGAACAUACUGACAGAAGAAAAGGAACAUGAAGUGAAAUUUACUGUGGCAUAAGGGGAUCAACAUGUUAAUUAUUAAUUUUUGUUUUGACUUCCAUAAGCUGGAGCAAAAACGCUAUAUUGAAUCACCU